GGACAGUUAAACCAUCACAGAGUGCAGUCGUGCGGCUCAACUGUUCACCUGCAACAACAGGUGUUACAUGCCCCACUUCCAGUCUGAUUAAGACCCGCCAUGCUUGCGUUCAUCUCGUUAAAGCAAUUAUUGGAGAUCCUUGCAAAAACAACAGAUUGCAGGUCAGGUGGGGAAAGUACAGAGGAUUUGGCAUGCUGUCUUCCUCCUGUAACAAUUGGCCUCUGUCAUCCCAAAUAAUUACACACGAAAGGAGAGUAACAGGAGACUACAUUGGCAUAGAAUGAGACCAAAUGAUGCCAAAUUGGCUCGGGAUGCUUCUCCUCUGACCACUUUGCCUUACAUUAUCAUCUGAAGGUGUGGAUAUCAAUCUGUCUUGAAAAGAUGCUUGCUAACAAGAGGCUAUAAGGGACUACAAAGUUUUUGGAGGACAUUAAACAUCAUCACGCCGAACAGCUCCAGAUCAACAUACACGAAUGCAAAUGAGAGAGAACCAGCGGGGAACAUAGAUCACAGCCGCCGUGUGCAUGUGUGUGCGUCACAGGAGAGAUGGAGGCUGGAGUACUAAUCACUGGAACGCAGACAGUUAACAGCCCGAGAUCCGUCAGGACUGACCCAUCUGAAAACUCCAUUACCCAGCUGGCUCGCUGCUCCACCGGGAGCCUGUAGGGAGUAGAUGUUGUUUUAGCAUUGAAUAUAAAUGUAGAGCUGGGUGGCUCAAAAAUGCUUCUGUGAUCCAGGCAUCUAUUUCAAAAGUCCAGCAUUACAGCUUUGAUCCGGCAGCUAGUCUGAGAUCUAAGCGCAUGCCUGCAGGUGCACUGCAGAGAUCUAUGAAAUCAGAGGAGAAGCAGGAGGGCUGCGGCGCACUUGCACAGUCCACAGAUCCAAAAAAAAAGAUGAGCGCUCUCAUAUUUCCCAGCCGUCUUCCUGCAGUGCAAUCAGAAUCCUUUAAGAGCAGAGCAUCAUAUAUUUACUGAGUUGGACAGAGAUGCCUUACCUGGAGGCCUCCGGUGGAGCAGGCAGGAGUUAAAUAUUAAUUGUGAGUGAUUCAUCGCCUGAAGCCUGGACAGGCCUGCAGCUCAGCUCCAGCUGUUGGUUGGCCCUGGUCUCCUUCCAGGCCUGGCAGCCAUAGCUUGGCUCGGGCAGCAGAAGCCACACAUCAGGGUGUCAGUUGGAGCCAGCAGACUGUGUCACCCAUGCUGGGGAGGCAAUGAGGCACGGAAGCCUCCGCCACAUGUGCGAGGGAUCCAAGGGCUAAUGCUGGGACCAAAUCAGCUAUAGGAUGAGCGGGUGAAUCUCAGCAGAACUGUCAAGAACUUGUCUAAGUCACAUUUUAAAGCAGAAAGCAUGUCACCAUUACCG
ensembl:lncRNA